UUACGGCCAUGUCACGUGAAAACGCCGGUUCUCGUUCGAUCAUCGUAGUUAAGCAACAUCGACGUUGGUCAGUAGCUAGAUGGGUAACCUUCGGAAUACCAGGUGCAGUAAG